rnacentral:rRNA from 1 species
GACGGUCUUGCUGUCACUUAUAGAUGGAUCCGCGCUGCAUUAGCUAGUUGGUAAGGUAACGGCUUACCAAGGCAACGAUGCAUAGCCGACCUGAGAGGGUGAUCGGCCACACUGGAACUGAGACACGGUCCAGACUCCUACGGGAGGCAGCAGUAGGGAAUCUUCCGCAAUGGGCGAAAGCCUGACGGAGCAACGCCGCGUGAGUGAUGAAGGUCUUCGGAUCGUAAAACUCUGUUAUUAGGGAAGAACAUAUGUGUAAGUAACUGUGCACAUCUUGACGGUACCUAAUCAGAAAGCCACGGCUAACUACGUGCCAGCAGCCGCGGUAAUACGUAGGUGGCAAGCGUUAUCCGGAAUUAUUGGGCGUAAAGCGCGCGUAGGCGGUUUUUUA